GAGGGUGUAGCUCAGUGGUAGAGCACAUGCUUAGCAUGCACAAGGUCCUGGGUUCGAUCCCCAGUACCUCCA
rnacentral:tRNA from 1 species